rnacentral:lncRNA from 1 species
ACCUGAGAUCAGAUCACCUCUGGGUGAACUUCCAGGUUUCAAUGUCAAGAUGCACACCUCUGAAUCUACACAGGAUGGCAGUAACACCGUUGAGGCUGUGUUGUCAGCAGCAGAGAUUGCAUUUGAAUCAUUGGAGAAUCCAGAGGAUUUUGGAGACCCCUAUCAAGUUGCCAUGAAUUAUGUGGAGGAACAUAAAAUUCUACAGCUAUUUCAGGAUAUCACAGAAAAACUGCUGAUCCAUAAGCCUGAUGACCCCUUGCAGUUCAUAUUGCUGGAGGUGCAGUCUAUGAUAAAUGCCAGGCAAGCAGAACCGGAGAAACUAUCGGAAUAGAACGAAGAUGUGUAGGUGUUUCUAGAAGAAGGCUUGUGCACUCCUUUUGGCCCCCAUUUACCCUGCUGUUGUGGUAUUGCCACACCAUGCCUUCCCAGCACCGUGUAGUCAUUAGCAAUAACUUGGAAAAGAUCUGCUUGUCUGUCUCUUGCCUGGUUUCUCUGUUUUGUAUGCUUGUGCUUCCCCUUGGAUUUAAAUCCUGCAGCCAAGUUUUGGUUUGGAAUCACACACUGAGAUCUAAGUGUGCAUGGAUCUGCAUGCACAUUUGGCGCAUCUUGAAGAGGCAGGUCUGCUGAACUUCUAGGCAUAUAAAUGCAUAAAUCUCACAUUUAGGCCAAUCCUCACUCUGCCUCUCUGUGCAGAGAAACCUCACAGCUCAGACAGUGCAAGGACAAAAGCAAGUAGGGUUAAAAAGCAGCACUGGACAACCCACAGCCUUCUUUUCUCAUGCUGCAGUGGCUUACUGUGUCCAGUUAUGCAGCAGCACCAAUGCCUAUCUCAUACUUUGAUAGUUUGUGUCUGGGCUUUCCCACUGCCCCCAGAGCUCCUCUAAUGCAAGAAGCUGUCUCUCUGCCUCUUCCACACACUGGGUACAGCUGUCUCACCCUUAAUCAGCCCUGCUGGACACUGAUCACUCUGCUUUUUGGGGUGGCCCUGCCCGUAUCAUUGUAAGUAGGGUGUUUAACCAGAACAGUAAAGCAACAGUUGCACACACCCUUUAUGCUUUCAGGAGACAUUGUCACUCAGGAAUGUGGGAGGUGAAUAAAAGCAAACAAACCAAAACCA